rnacentral:rRNA from 1 species
AACGCGAAGAACCUUACCUACCCUUGACAUGCCUGGAAUCCUGAAGAGAUUUGGGAGUGCUCGAAAGAGAGCCAGAACACAGGUGCUGCAUGGCCGUCGUCAGCUCGUGUCGUGAGAUGUUGGGUUAAGUCCCGCAACGAGCGCAACCCUUGUCAUUAGUUGCUACGAAAGGGCACUCUAAUGAGACUGCCGGUGACAAACCGGAGGAAGGUGGGGAUGACGUCAGGUCAUCAUGGCCCUUAUGGGUAGGGCUACACACGUCAUACAAUGGCCGGGACAGAGGGCUGCCAACCCGCGAGGGGGAGCUAAUCCCAAAAACCCGGUCGUAGUCCGGAUCGUAGUCUGCAACUCGACUGCGUGAAGUCGGAAUCGCUAGUAAUCGCGGAUCAGCUUGCCGCGGUGAAUACGUUCCCGGGCCUUGUACACACCG